UACGAAGGGGGCUAGCGUUGCUCGGAAUCACUAGGCGUAAAGCGCACGUAGGCGGGUCGUUAAGUCGGGGGUGAAAUCCUGGAGCUCAACUCCAGAACUGCCUUCGAUACUGGCGAUCUUGAGUCUGGGAGAGGUGAGUGGAACUCCGAGUGUAGAGGUGAAAUUCGUAGAUAUUCGGAAGAACACCAGUGGCGAAGGCGGCUCACUGGCCCGGUACUGACGCUGAGGUGCGAUAGCGUGGGGAGCAAACAGG
rnacentral:rRNA from 1 species